GUACCGGUGCCACGUGGACCAUGCCAGCCUGGGGGAGCCUCUGGUCUUGGCUUGGGAGGCGCCUGCUUCCAACUUGGUGCUCAUUAUUGGGUGCGUCAUUGUGGCUCUCCUGAUCGUGACUUGGGUUGCUGGCGCCUGGGUCUACAUCAAGAAACAUCAAGAAGGCUACAAAGCAGCGUCCAGGAGCAACCCAGCAGCCAUUUAGCAUCUUCAGAAAGAGCCUAACUCAAGAUUGGUGCCUCCCGCAGAGGAAGCCGAAUGAGGAAGAGUGGAUCCAUCAUGCUUUGAAUCCUGUGUUGCCCUUUCACAAUUUCUUUCAUUUUUACACUAGGUAUUAAUGCAUAUUUUUGUAUUUUGAAGAGUUUGGCUUGUUGUUGUGCUUUCUGAAAACUCCACAGUGGUAAGACCUUGUUCCAGGCUCACGUUUGGGGCAAAGAACACAUGAAAAUCUUUCAUGAAUGAGUCCCCUUAGUAGCUGAAGUAACAAUUCUAGACCUGUCAUUGAAUUAAUAAAAUAUUUGGUGAUUCAUGUUAUUUAAAUUCAUGAGGCUGCAACUGUAAUGAGUCCCAGUCUAGGGAAAGAGCAGCAUAUUGAUCACUUUAUCCAUCAGGCAGGCAGGCAGGCAAUCAUCCAACCCAUCAACCUUUGCAGUCAGUGGGGCUUUCUUCAGAGUGUGAUUCACAAGCGGAGCUAAUAUUUAGCCAAUUUUUCUAACAAGAGAUUAUGAGAAAAAUUGUAUUUCUGAAGGGAAAAAAUGUUACUUUCACAUUAUUUGUAUACAUAUCUUGAAGAUUAUAUUAACUGAGUUACAGCUUCUGUACCUGCUUGCGCUCAAAUUACCAAAAUUUGGGGGGAAAGAGUGAAUUCAGAUUGUCCGUUUGUUCUUCGUUGGUUAUAAACACUUUGAAAUUUUCUAUAAAAUCAGGAAAUGAUGAUCUGUGGGGGGAAAUAUCCUUCAAGCAAUCAUGAUCUGAUUCUUCUAUAAUGGAGCUUCUUCUUAGUGACAUAAGUAACAUAUUGCACUUGGCUUUUAUGGUCAAGGGUGGAGAUGGGGGUAUUUGUAUUAGUAUACCCCACACACAGGUGCCACUUGCUCCACGGAGCCUUCCUAUUGCGAUAGAUAGCCAGUCCUGGUAGAAAGCAGGAUGAUGAGCCUCUCUGCCAGGUCGCAGAGUGGCUAAUCCAUUGCGAGCAACGGAGAGAUUGGAAGGCACCCUGAAGCUCUUGGCAGCAAAGGGAUCGUUAAUCGCUCAGGCCCCAGGGGGCCGGACCUUCGUUAUCUGCACCUGUGGGGGAAUAUUCGUAUUCGUAUACGAAUAUUCCCAUCUCUAGUUAUGGGUUUAAGAUUUAUUUUCUACAUGUAUAUUAGACAGCUGGAAUAAUUGGAUUUCAAUAAAGUCUGGUGUUUUC